rnacentral:rRNA from 1 species
AUGCACUUCUUCGCCUUCAUGGACGGCCACGGCGGCCUCAAGCUGUCGGCCCUGUGCAGGGAACAGAUGCACACCAUCUUGGUGGAGGAGCUCGCCGGCCCGGAAAAUGACGAAGAGGCGGAGUGUCAUGCGUGGGAGGUGGUGCUGAACCGGGGCUUCGAGCGGGCGGACGCACUGGGGAUAGGGCUAUCGGAAUUGGGAUGGCCCAUCGUGGGGUGCACUGCCGUGGUGGCGCUUCUGCACCGCGGUAGCAUCCUGGUGAUCAACUGCGGCGACUCCCGCGCCAUGCUAUGCAGCGCCGGUGAUGCCAUCCCGUUGUCCGAGGACCAAAGGUGA